AACGAACGCUGGCGGCAGGCUUAACACAUGCAAGUCGAACGCCCCGCAAGGGGAGUGGCAGACGGGUGAGUAACGCGUGGGAAUCUACCCAGUUCUACGGAACAACUGAGGGAAACUUCAGCUAAUACCGUAUACGCCCUACGGGGGAAAGAUUUAUCGGAAUUGGAUGAGCCCGCGUUGGAUUAGCUAGUUGGUGGGGUAAUGGCCUACCAAGGCGACGAUCCAUAGCUGGUCUGAGAGGAUGAUCAGCCACACUGGGACUGAGACACGGCCCAGACUCCUACGGGAGGCAGCAGUGGGGAAUAUUGGACAAUGGGCGAAAGCCUGAUCCAGCCAUGCCGCGUGAGUGAUGAAGGCCUUAGGGUUGUAAAGCUCUUUCAGUGGGGAAGAUAAUGACGGUACCCACAGAAGAAGCCCCGGCUAACUUCGUGCCAGCCGCCGCAGUAAAAC
rnacentral:rRNA from 1 species